CUCUCAUGUUAUGUGAUUGACUUCAGACCACUUCAUCACUUCGGUUUCCACCGGUGAGCUCAUACGGUAAAGGGAGGGAAACUCAAAUGGAGUGCACUACUCGGACCAGUAAGGGGCGCUGGUGUAAGCCCAUACGAUCUUUGACCGUGUGGCGCUUGCAAGUGAAACUGAGCUGGCAUUCAAAUGAAGAAAGGGCUUUCCACAGGUGUGAGAGGGACCUGUUCUCUAUGUUCUUCCUGUCUAAAUGGAUACGAGGCUAUGGAGUGGGGCAGCGCUCUCACUGGGACAUACACGGUGUGUUGAGGUCACACACAAACCUAUAUAAACCAAACUUUGGUUUCUGAGAUCAGGUCUUUAUGAAUGUGAUGACAUGGAACAUGAUACGACGCUGCUACUGGGUUAGCUGAUACCGACCGAAGAAAUGUCUCAGAAUAAGAUCACUGAGUAAGGCUGCAUGAUAUUCACAAAAACAUACUGUGAUUAUACCACUACUCACUACAAUUGAAACAUGGUUUGCAAUGUAAAAAACAUGCAUGUAAACCACAGGUCUGUAGAUUGAUUUGCAUUGUUCUGACGAAAAUUAUUUAUGGUGAUCAAAUCAUGUGAAUGCUGUGUUUAAUUGAAUGCCUGAGAUGUCCAGAAUGUUUACACCACACAAUUAAAAAUAAUGCUGAUUUGAUUAA